UGCUAACACAUGCAAGUCGAACGAGAAAGCUCUUCGGAGCGAGUAGAGUGGCGCACGGGUGAGUAAUGCAUAGGAACGUACCCUGAAGUGGGGAAUAACCACUGGAAACGGUGGCUAAUACCGCAUGUGAUCUUCGGAUUAAAGUUGGCUUCCUUUUGCUUCUAUUAAUAGAGAGUCUUGGUUCUUUUCAGAACAGGAAUUUCUGCUAAUAGAAGUGAAAUAGCUAGCGCUUUAGGAUCGGCCUAUGUCCCAUUAGCUUGUUGGUAGGGUAACGGCCUACCAAGGCUACGAUGGGUAGCUGGUCUGAGAGGACGAUCAGCCACACUGGGACUGAGACACGGCCCAGACUCCUGCGGGAGGCAGCAGUGGGGAAUUUUGCACAAUGGGCGCAAGCCUGAUGCAGCAACGCCGCGUGAGUGAAGAAGGCCCUUGGGUUGUAAAGCUCUUUCGACUGGGAAGCAGGGUAUAUAGGUAAAUAAUCUAUGUAUUUGACGGUACCAGUAUAAGAAGCACCGGCUAGUUUCGUGCCAGCAGCCGCGGUAAUACGAAAGGUGCGAGCGUUGUUCGGAUUGACUGGGCGUAAAGCGCGUGUAGGCGGUUUGGUAAGUCAGUUGUGAAAUCCCUGAGCUCAACUCAGGAACUGCAAUUGAAACUACCUUACUUGAAUGCUCGAGAGGUUGGUGGAAUUCCAGGUGUAGCAGUGAAAUGCGUAGAGAUCUGGAGGAACACCGGCGGCGAAGGCGGCCAACUGGCGGUGCAUUGACGCUGAGACGCGAAAGCGUGGGUAGCAAACAGGAUUAGAUACCCUGGUAGUCCACGCCGUAAACGAUGGAUACUAGGCGUGUGNAUAGGUUAACCUUCUGCGUGCCGUAGCUAACGCAUUAAGNNUCCCGCCUGGGGAGUACGGUCGCAAGGCUAAACUCAAAUGAAUUGAC
rnacentral:rRNA from 1 species